rnacentral:rRNA from 1 species
UACGUAGGGUGCGAGCGUUGUCCGGAAUUAUUGGGCGUAAAGAGCUCGUAGGCGGUGGGUCACGUCGGCCGUGAAAACCUGCAGCUUAACUGUGGGCGUGCGGUCGAUACUGGCAUCACUGGAGUUCGGCAGGGGAGACUGGAAUUCCUGGUGUAGCGGUGAAAUGCGCAGAUAUCAGGAGGAACACCGGUGGCGAAGGCGGGUCGCUGGGCCGAUACUGACGCUGAGGAGCGAAAGCGUGGGGAGCAAACAGG